UAAACGUACACCUACUGAAUGGAUUCA
rnacentral:piRNA from 1 species